UGGGGAAUAUUGGACAAUGGGCGCAAGCCUGAUCCAGCAAUGCCGCGUGUGUGAAGAAGGCCUUCGGGUUGUAAAGCACUUUUAUCAGGAGCGAAACGCUGUCGGCUAAUACCCGGCGGAACUGACGGUACCUGAGGAAUAAGCACCGGCUAACUUCGUGCCAGCAGCCGCGGUAAUACGAAGGGUGCAAGCGUUAAUCGGAAUUACUGGGCGUAAAGCGUGCGUAGGCGGUUUCUUAAGUCUGCUGUGAAAUCCCCGGGCUCAACCUGGGAAUGGCAGUGGAUACUGGGAGGCUAGAGUGUGUCAGAGGGUGGUGGAAUUCCCGGUGUAGCGGUGAAAUGCGUAGAGAUCGGGAGGAACAUCAGUGGCGAAGGCGGCCACCUGGGACAACACUGACGCUGAGGCACGAAAGCGUGGGGAGCAAACAGGAUUAGAUACCCUGGUAGUCCACGCCCUAAACGAUGCGAACUGGAUGUUGGUCUCAACUCGGAGAUCAGUGUCGAAGCUAACGCGUUAAGUUCGCCGCCUGGGGGAGUACGGUCGCAAGACUGAAACUUAAAUGAAUUGACGGGGUCAUAGCUGUUUCCUG
rnacentral:rRNA from 1 species